CGACCCUAGGUCAGGUGGGGCUACCCGCUGAGUUUAAGCAUAUCAAUAAGCGGAGGACAAGAAACUUACGAGGAUUCCCUUAGCAACGGCGAGUAAAUCGGGACGAUCCUAGCUUGAGAAUUGGGCGGAUUUGUCAUUCGAAUUGUAGUCUGUAGAAGCGUCCUCAGCAGCGGACCGGGCCCAAGUCCCCUGGAAGGGGGUGCUGAAGAGGGUGAGAGACCCAUCGUGUCUGGACCUUGUCGUACCAUGAGGCACUGUCGGUGAGUCAAGUUGUUUGGGAAUGUAGCCCCAAUUAGGUGGUAAAUUUUGUCCAAGGCUAAAUAUAGGCGAGAGAACGAUAACGAACAAGUACCACAAGGGAAAGAUGAAAAGGACUUUGAAAAUAGAGUCAAAGAGUGUUUAAAAUUAUCAGGAGGGAAGCGGGGGCUAGUGAUGCAUCUCGAUUGGACGCGAAACGGUUAAUAGCCGAUUCGCUGCUCGACUCAGGGCGUGGAUCGAUGUGGAUUGCAACGGCGUCCCAAGCCCGGGUUAUCGCUUUAUGUCUGAGGAGAUGUCAUCGCCGUGAUCAUGGUAGGCAGCGUGCACCUCGAUGGUGUGCCUAUUGGAAACUGCAUGCUCCAGGCAUUGGCCUGUCGGGCUCCCCAUUCGACUCAUCUUGAAACACGGGCCAAGGAGUCUGACAUGUGUGCAAGUCAACGGGCGAGUAAAACCCAUAAGGCGUAUGGAAGCUGACUGGUGGGAUCCCCUUGUGGGUUGCACCACCGACCGACCUUGAUCUUCUGUGAAGGGUUCGAGUGAGAGCAUACCUAUCGGGACCCGAAAGAUGGUGAAUUAUGCCUGAGCGGGGCUAAGCCAGAGGAAACUCUAGUGGAGGCCCAUAGCAAUACUGAUGUGCAAAUCAUUCGUCUGACUUGGGUAUAGGGGUGAAAGACUAAUCGAAUCAUCUAGUAGUUGGUUCCUUCAAAGUUUCCCACAAGAUAGUUGAAACCCGCGGGCAUGUUCUAUCGGCUAAAGCCAAUGAUUAGAGGCAUUGGGGGCAUAACACCCUCGACUUAUUCUCAAACUUUAAAUAGGUAGGACGGCGUGGCUGCUUCAUUGAGCCACGCCAUGGAAUCGAGAGCUUUAAGUGGGCCAUUUUUGGUAAGCAGAACUGGCGAUGCGGGAUGAAUCGGAAGUCGGAUUACGGUACUGGAUUGCAUGCUAACCUAGAACCCACAAAGGGUGUUGGUCGAUUAAGAUAGUAGGACAGUGGUCAUGGAAGUCGAAAUCUACUAAGGAGUGUGUAACAACUCACCUGCCGAAUCAACUAACCUUGAAAAUGGAUGGCGCUGAAGUGCGUAACCUUUACUCGGUCGUCAAGGCAACUGCCAGGCCCCAAUGAGUAGGAGGGCAUGAUGGUCACCGUAAAACUAGGGGCAUGAACUCGAGCGGAGUGACCGUCGGUGCAGAUAUUGGUGGUAGUAGCAAAUAUUCAAAUGAGAACUUUGAAGGCCGAAGAGGGGAAAGGUUCCAUGUGAACGGCACUUGCACAUGGGUUAGUCGAUCCUAAGGAAUAGGGGAAGUUCAUCAGAGAGCGUGUAGGCACGCGUGCUCCGGAAGGGAAUCGUUUUAAAAUUCCUGAACCGGGACGUGGCGGUUGACAACAAUGUUAGGAAGUCCGGAGACGUCGGCAGGGGCCUCAGGAAGAGUUAUCUUUUUUGGUUAACAGCCUGCCCACCCUAAAAACGGCUCAACCGGAGGUAGGGCCCAGUGGUUGGAAGAGCACUGCACGUCACGUGGUGUUCGGUGCGCCCCCGGUGGCCCUUGAAAAUCUGGAGGAUCAAGUGCCGACCAUGCCCGAUCGUACUCAUAACCGCAUCAGGUCUCCAAGGUGAACAGCCUCUGGUCGAUAGAACAAUGUAGGCAAGGGAAGUCAACAAAAUGGAUCCGUAACCUCGGGAAAACGAUUAGCUAUCGAAGGAUUUCUCGAGCUACUUUCGCGGUGAGAGCGGGUCACCGCGUACCGGUCAGGGGACAGACUAGGAACGGCCCCCUCAGGGGCCUUCCCCAGGCACCGAACAGUCGACUUGGAACUGGUACGGACAGGGGGAAUCCGACUGUUUAAUUAAAACAAAGCAUUACAAUGGUCCCUACAGAUGCUCACGCAAUGUGAUUUCGGCCCAGUGCUCUGAAUGUCAAAGUGAAGAAAUUCAACCAAGCGCGGGUAAACGGCGGGAAUAACUAUGACUCUCUUAAGGUAGCCAAAUGCCUCACCAUCUAAUUAGUGACGCGAAUGAAUGGAUUAACAAGGUUCCCACUGUCCCUGUCUACUAUCCAGUGAAACCACAGCCAAGGGAACGGGCUUGGUAGAAUCAGCGGGGAAAGAAGACCCUAUUGAGCUUGACUCUAGUCCGACUUUGUGAAAUAACUUGAGAGGUGUAGGAUAAGUGGGAGCUGGAAACGGUGCUAGUGAAAUACCACUACUUUUAAUGUUAUUUUACUUACUCCAUGAGUCAGAGGUGGGGCUUUGCCCCUCCUUUUGGACCCAAAGUCCACCUCCGUGGGGUGAUCCGGGCAGAGUACAUUGUCAGGUGGGGAGUUUGGCUGGGGCAGCACAUCUGUUAAAAGAUAACACAAGUGUCCUAAGAUGAGCUCAAUGAAAACAGAAAUCUCGUGUGGAACAAAAGGGUAAAAGCACGUUUGAUUCUGACUUCCAGUAUGAAUACGAACUGUGAAAGCAUGGCCUAUCGAUCCUUUAGACCUUCAGAAUUUGAAGCUAGAGGUGUCAAAAAAGUUACCACAGGGAUAACUGGCUUGUGGCAACCAAGCGUUCAUAGCGAUGUUGCUUUUUGAUCCUUUGAUGUCGCCUCUUCCUAUCAUUGCGAAGCAAAAUUCGCCAAGUGUUGGAUUGUUCACCCACCAAUAGGGAACGUAAGCUGGGCUUAGACCGUCGUGAGACAGAUUAGUUUUACCCUACUAAUGACAGUGUCGCGAUAGUAAUUCAACCUAGUACGAGAGGAACCGUUGAUCCACACAAUUAGUCAUCGCGCUUGGUUGAAAAGCCAGUGGCGUGAAGCUGCUAUAUGCCGGAUUAUGAUUGAACGCCUCUAAGUCAGAAUCCAGGCUAAAGAAGCGAUGCCUGUGCCCAUCGCCCGUUUACCGACCCAUAGUAGGGGCCCUCCGGCCCCUAAAGGCACAUGUCAUUGGCCAACCCCCGUAGUGGACGUGUUGUGUGGGCUGCCUUGAAGCUUAAUUCCUGUCAGGCGAUGGAUAGAAUCCUUUGCAGACGUCUUAAAUACGCGAUGGGGUAUUGUAAGUGGCAGAGUGGCCUUGCUACCACGAUCCACUGAGAUUCAGCCCCGUGUCGUAUCGAUUCGU